GUCGCACACCACACUCUUGAUGUGGUAAACCCGAUUCUUCACCUACGUCACGGUUCAGUUGCCCACUUCUCUCAGACUUCUCUCACUUGCCUCCCUACUUCUCCCUUUUCUCAUAACCAAGACAAUGAGCAGACUGCCUCUUCUCCCAAAUCUCCAGCACGCAGAUGCCCACCCCAGCCAGCAUCCCAGCAACAAAUAACUCCCCCUCAACCCAGCCCCCUUCAUGUCUCUCACCUAUGAAACCCUAGAAGAUUUCUUCCUCACCUCUCACCCUAGCCCCUUCUUCACUUCUCUCACACUUGAAACCCUUGAUCCUGCUCUAAAACUCCAUAUGGUGUGUUGAGCUUCUAUUACAAACUCCAUACGUCGAACACCAACGCUCAAUCCAUACAGAUCUGCCUUCUCACAUCACCGAUGCCAUGGAUUCUCUGAUGAGGGGAAGGACUGUUCUUGUCAUAGCACACAAGUGUUCAACAGUCAAAAGUGCACACUGUGUUGCUGUUAUAUCAGAUGGUCAGAUAGCUGAAAGUGACACCCACAAGAAGCUACUCAGCCAGGAUGGAAUAUACACUGCAUUAGUAAGGAGACAAUUACAAGCCUCAAUUACUGCAUUGCAGUUUAAAAUUGUAGAUAAAACUACAGGAAGUAGGAAUGAAUCAAAAUAAUAGGUGAGGUCAAAUUGUUUGAAAUUCCAAUGUUGGCUUCUCCUGCAUGCUUGUUGUGUAGAUCGCAUAGAUGAAGUUCUUGGUCUUAAAUUAUUAUCAAGUCCUCUUCCCACCUAUCGUGCUAGUUUGAAAUGUAAAGAGAUUGUACGGAUCAUAACAUGUAUGCUAUAUGCUGUAUGCAAAGAAUUAUGGCAACUUAUUA